rnacentral:rRNA from 1 species
UACGGAGGGUGCAAGCGUUAUCCGGAUUCACUGGGUUUAAAGGGUGCGUAGGUGGGCUAGUAAGUCCGUGGUGAAAUCCCCGAGCUUAACUUGGGAACUGCCAUUGAUACUAUUAGUCUUGAAUAUCGUGGAGGUAAGCGGAAUAUGUCAUGUAGCGGUGAAAUGCUUAGAUAUGACAUAGAACACCAAUUGCGAAGGCAGCUUGCUACACGAUCAUUGACACUGAGGCACGAAAGCGUGGGGAGCAAACAGG